AUUGAACGCUGGCGGCAGGCCUAACACAUGCAAGUCGAGCGAGCGGCGGACGGGUGAGUAAUGUAUGGGAAACUGCCUGAUGGAGGGGGAUAACUACUGGAAACGGUAGCUAAUACCGCAUACCAUCAGAUGUGCCCAGAUGGGAUGAGCUAGUAGGUGGGGUAACGGCUCACCUAGGCGACGAUCCCCAUCUGGCUUGAGAGGAUGACAAGCCACACCGGAACUGAGACACGGUCCAGAGUCCUACGGGAGGCAGCAGUGGGUAAUAUUGCACAAUGGGCGCCAGCCUGAUGCAGCCAUGCCGCGUGUGUGAAGAAGGCCUUCGGGUGGUAAAGCACUUUCAGCGGGGAGGCGUUACCCGCAGAAGAAGCACCGGCUAACUCCGUGCCAGCAGCCGCGGUAAUAC
rnacentral:rRNA from 1 species